CCUACGGGAGGCAGCAGUGAGGAAUAUUGGUCAAUGGGCGCAAGCCUGAACCAACCAAGUCGCGUGAGGGAUGACGGUCCUAUGGAUUGUAAACCUCUUUUGUCGGGGAGCAAGGCCCGCCACGUGUGGCGGGAAGGAGAGUACCCGAAGAAAAAGCAUCGGCUAACUCCGUGCCAGCAGCCGCGGUAAUCCGGAGGAUGCGAGCGUUAUCCGGAUUGAUUGGGUUUAAAGGGUGCGUAGGCGGAAGGUUAAGUCAGCGGUCAAAUGUCGGUGCUCAACACCGGCCUGCCGUUGAAACUGGUCUUCUUGAGUGAGCGAGAAGUAUGCGGAAUGCGUGGUGUAGCGGUGAAAUGCAUAGAUAUCACGCAGAACUCCGAUUGCGAAGGCAGCAUACCGGCGCUCAACUGACGCUGAGGCACGAAAGCGUGGGGAUCGAACAGGAUUAGAUACCCGAGUAGUC
rnacentral:rRNA from 1 species